UGUUCCGGGAGUCUUUCAGACUGGGAGACAUGGCAAGCAUUUCGGAAAGGAGACCGACUACCGACUAACUACAGCAAGACAGUCCGACCAAAUGACGGCGAACGAUGGACAAGUGUGUCAUGCGGAGUUCGUCUCAGUGACAUCGGUUCCUUGUCCGAGACAUCCAUGAAAUUUGAAGCGAGAUUUGACAUGACCUUAGAGUGGACGGACUCCCGGCUGGCCGGACUGACCAUGGGCAUGGCGCCCAUUCCCGUCAGGUACCUCUGGACACCGGACAUCCGGUUUGGUCAGGAAACGGAAGUACUGAGUGAGAGCGACAGUGGCGACGACAUGGACGACAACACCAUCACUACAUGGAUCUUCCCAGAUGGAAAGAUUGCCUACAA